UCCUAUUAUAUUUCGAAUUUUUAAGUGUGGUCAAGUCCUAGAGUUAGAUCUAUGAGUUUUCUAACUUAUCCAAGUGGAAUCACUGGAAAAGGUGUUGUAGAUUUUCGUGUGAACUAAUUUUAGCAAAGUACGAAAAACUUCAAAAUAUGAAAAAGGCUGCUGCCAUGAUUUUAAAAGUACUGUUUCGGCCACUUAAUUUGUGAGAAAAAUUCUGGCCUUUUGGGAUAUGAAAG
rnacentral:lncRNA from 1 species